rnacentral:rRNA from 1 species
AUGCCCUUUCCUCCUAAGCCAACCAAGAAAAAUGAUGAGGAUUUUGAGCACUUUGCUAAAAUGAUUAGACCUAUCUUUUUGCGUAUGCGUUUGACUGAUAUGCUUAAAAUGCCUCCUUAUGCUAAGUAUAUGAAAGAUAUUGUUACUAAUAAAAGAAAGAUACCUGAAGCUGAAAUUUCCACCAUGCUUGCUAAUUAUACUUUUAAGGGUGGAAUGCCAAAGAAACUUGGAGAUCCACGAGUACCAACUAUACCAUGCUCCAUUAAAAGAAACUAUGUUAAAACUGCUUUAUGUGAUCUCGGAGCCAGUGUUAUGCUUUCUCUUUAUAUCAUAGACUUGAUUUGA